AGCCAUCAGAGACAGAACCAGAGCCUCCCUUGACUGUAACCAUAACUAUCAUCCAAAAAGCCCUAGAAGACUUUGAUGGAUCACAAAGAAGUGCUGUGAUGAGUUACACUUCAAGUUACAAUCUGAAAGCAAAUAUGAACCCCCUGGGAAGUCUGGGAUGUCUAGUGUUACAUGAAGUGACAAGGACACUGGCAGCACAAAACUUAAGCAGCAAUUGAAAAGAAGCUACCGUUCAUUGAGCACCUUCUAG